AUUGAACGCUGGCGGCAGGCCUAACACAUGCAAGUCGAGCGGUAGAGAGGUGCUUGCAUCUCUUGAGAGCGGCGGACGGGUGAGUAAUGCCUAGGAAUCUGCCUAGUGGUGGGGGAUAACGUUCGGAAACGGACGCUAAUACCGCAUACGUCCUACGGGAGAAAGCGGGGGAUCUUCGGACCUCGCGCCAUUAGAUGAGCCUAGGUCGGAUUAGCUAGUUGGUGAGGUAAUGGCUCACCAAGGCGACGAUCCGUAACUGGUCUGAGAGGAUGAUCAGUCACACUGGAACUGAGACACGGUCCAGACUCCUACGGGAGGCAGCAGUGGGGAAUAUUGGACAAUGGCGCAAGCCUGAUCCAGCAAUGCCGCGUGCAGGAUGAAG
rnacentral:rRNA from 1 species